rnacentral:rRNA from 1 species
ACUCCUACGGGAGGCAGCAGUGGGGAAUAUUGCACAAUGGGCGCAAGCCUGAUGCAGCCAUGCCGCGUGUGUGAAGAAGGCCUUCGGGUUGUAAAGCACUUUCAGCGAGGAGGAAAGGUUAAGUGUUAAUAGCACUUAGCUGUGACGUUACUCGCAGAAGAAGCACCGGCUAACUCCGUGCCAGCAGCCGCGGUAAUACGGAGGGUGCAAGCGUUAAUCGGAAUUACUGGGCGUAAAGCGCGCGUAGGUUGUUUGUUAAGCGAGAUGUGAAAGCCCCGGGCUCAACCUGGGAACGGCAUUUCGAACUGGCAAGCUAGAGUACAGUAGAGGGUGGCGGAAUUUCCUGUGUAGCGGUGAAAUGCGUAGAGAUGGGAAGGAACAUCAGUGGCGAAGGCGGCCACCUGGACUGAUACUGACACUGAGGUGCGAAAGCGUGGGGGAGCAAACAGGAUUAGAUACCCUGGUAGGUGA